GCCUUCAUGGUGUAACGGUAACACACUCAGCCCGUAAUCGAGAGAUCCAGGUUCGAGUCCUGGCGAGGGCA
rnacentral:tRNA from 1 species